rnacentral:lncRNA from 1 species
CACUCUCCAGGGACUAGGCCACGACAGGCGCUCCUUCUCUUGCGCUCUCGCUUACUCCAUCUCUCCCUGGAUCACACACUCCAAGGAAGCUCUGUCGGGUAAGGAAGACACUCAAAGAGCCCAAGGAGAGGACCGCGCCAGAGGAAACCACGGCCUCCUGCCAGCAGCCAGGGAGGGACGGACAACAUGCCAACAGCCAUGAAAUGAGCAUCCUGGAGACAGAUCUUCCAGCUCCAGUCCAGCCUUCGGAUGACAGCAGCAGCCCAGACAACCGCGAGACUAAAACCUCAUGAGAGAUUAUGAGCCAGAAUCGCACAGAUAAAUUGCUCUCAAAUUUCUCAUCCACAGAAACUGCAAGAUAAUAAAUGUUUGUUUUAAGUCAGUAAAGAAGGUCAUUUGUUACACAGCAAAAUCUGGACUAGUCAUAUUUCGAGUCCCUGACAGUCACAUCUGGCCACUGUAUUAGAAAGGUCUGAGGUAUUUCUUCUGCAGCUGGAAGCAUGGAGUCCAAAGAGGUAAAAGAAUUGUAAAUACCUGAAGGAUUCUUUUUAUUUUCUCUCCUGGGAUGUCUCAUUUGUAUAGGUUCCCAAGCUUGGAAGGAGUGGCCUCCUUGGAAGGAAAGAGGGAAGGGAAGGGCAGUGUUUACUGUUAAGAAAACGAGGGACCAGAGUUCCCUCAUAGCUCAGCAGGUUAAGGAUCCAGCACCGUCACUGCUGUGGCUCUGGUUACAGCUGGGGGCAUGGGUUUGAUCCGGCCUGGGAACUUCCACACCCCAUGGAUGCAAACAAAAGAAAAAGGAAGGAAGGGAGGGAGGAAAGGAAGGAUUGCUUAGAAAAACUGAAAAGAAACUAAUUCUACCAACAAAACCCCAACACCAGAAUCAGGGUGAGUACAGAGGACACCACCCCCAUUUUAACAGAGGCCUCCCUCAUCAUUCAUUCAUCUAUAACCCUACAUCCACUUGAAAAGGGAACAUGCAGUCUGUUCUGAAGUGGCAGGUUUGGGGGAGCGGAGGAGCAAAGUAGAAGAACAUUUGGCUUUCUCCAAAAAACACCUUCUCCGGCUAACACAUUUGCCUCCCCGCCCCCGCCCCCCAGCAGUGUUAUCUUCUAGGAUCACUGCUUGAAAGAAGGAUAAAUCAAACCCAGAGCCCUCAGCAGACAGUAAUCUCAACAAGAAAAUCUACUCCGGUGCAACCAGAGUCACCCUUUUCCUCCUCCUGCUCCUACUUCUGACAAGCUAGAUUCAGACCAUUAUGGAAAAAAGCCCAGUUGUGUGAGUCACUGCAGGCACCCCAAGGGGCCUGGGCAAAAUCCAGAGGACAGAUGGAAACAGCUGCUGUGAGAUCAACUACAACAGGGAGGGAAGGAGGAAAAAGAGGGUGAAUUCAUAGUUUAUUACACACAAUCCCAUUCUGGCCUCAGAAAAGCUGGGUUUUAUUUUCUCUCCCAAACAAAAAGUUUCUUCUCCGUGCUUACUUAAGAUUCUUCUCCUAAUGAAGGAAGCAACAAGGGGGUCACCACCUGAGACAAUAAUCUAGUGCAGGAUGCCACUGCCACCAGGCGUCCCUCACAAUAUGGGGUAAACAAGGAUCAUCAGGAAGGAGAUGGAGAGCAAAACACUGUUGGCUUCAAUAAAACUCCGCAAUAAAAAAAGUCACCAGGAAACAAGAGACUGCUGAAAUCCAGCAGAAGAACUGCCCCGGGAAGGAGGAGUUCUACUCUCCUUACGUGAUAAUGAUGUUGUAAACGCCGCUGAUUAAGGAAAAAAGAAAAAGUGCCAGAGGAGUGUUUCUCUGCACAAGCAGAAGGCAAGCAGCCUCUAGACCUCUAACCCACUCUCCUACUAGCCAGAAGGAUGUAGGUCUUCACACAUCAGUCCCCGAGGUCCUGAAGGAAAGGUAGCUGACCUGUGGUCCAGAUGCUGUCCUAAAACCGCAGUGUAACAGUGGGUACCCUUCCUGAAGGAGAACUUCUCAGAGUGGGACAGUAACGGAUUAAGAGGGCUCCACUGGCAUCGGAGGCACCUCAACUCUCGCCAAUGGGCUCUGGUAUGAGACACAGGGAAGUACCCAGCAGCCUCUUCCACCCGAUCCCUAUACACCAGCCAGCCAUCCUCAAAAUCCCUACGCCUACAGCUCGAAGAGUUUUGACCAACGCACUGCAGGGUGGUCACUCUUGGAUGCUUCAGUCAUUUCAGACGGUCACAUGGUGGAGGAAGAGCGUAUCCUUCAAGUCCACCAGCCAGGCCAUCCAUGAGAAUAGAACUGCUGCCUUCCAAACAGGUCUCCAGAGAUUUUUAAGAACCAAGGGAAAAGCCCCUUCAACUUUCCCAGCUGCCCACCUGCCGGCAGUAACACUGUUCCUAAAGUAAGAUACAGACUCAAAAUGUCUCUACACAGUCUCCUCCCGAGUGUUGUCUUUCACUACAGAACUGCAGGUAUUUCUUCCACGAGUACUUUUAAGUAUUCACUACAUUACAUCACGUAUAGAACUUCUUGCAGCUAACUUCUGAAGCCAGCCAGUGGAGCUCCUGUAAAUAGUGGAGGGAGCUGAGAUGCAGAGGGAGUAUGGAGGAAAGUCUGAGUCAACUUCCAGGACCAAGGGAAACUUUUCCUUGGCCUCCCAGGUUUAAGACUAAAAUAAUGACAACCUCGUUUAAAAAAUAUAAAAGUCACAAAAAUUCUUUCCGUUGCCAGAGCUUACAUUCUGGGUCCCCUUUUUAUUCUCCUUUAAGUGUUUAUCUUUCCAGAAAAACUGUGGUACACUUUUGUAAUAAAUAUACUGUCUUUCUCAC